GAUGAACGCUGGCGGCGUGCUUAACACAUGCAAGCCGAACGAAGCAAUUGGAGUGCUUGCACUUUGAUUGACUGAGUGGCGGACGGGUGAGUAACGCGUGGGUAACCUGCCUCACAUAGGGGGACAACAGUUGGAAACGACUGCUAAUACCGCAUAAGCGCACAGUAUCGCAUGAUACAGUGUGAAAAACUCCGGUGGUGUGAGAUGGACCCGCGUCUGAUUAGCUAGUUGGUAAGGUAACGGCUUACCAAGGCGACGAUCAGUAGCCGGCCUGAGAGGGUGAACGGCCACAUUGGGGCUGAGACACGGCCCAA
rnacentral:rRNA from 1 species